rnacentral:tRNA from 1 species
GCGCCCUUAGCUCAGCUGGAUAGAGCGACUGGCUUCGGACCAGUAGGUCGGGGGUUCGAAUCCCUCAGGGCGUACCA